rnacentral:rRNA from 1 species
UACGUAGGUCCCGAGCGUUGUCCGGAUCUAUUGGGUUUAAAGGGUGCGUAGGCGGGCUUUUAAGUCAGCGGUAAAAAUUCGGGGCUCAACCCCGUCCGGCCGUUGAAACUGGGGGCCUUGAGUGGGCGAGAAGAAGGCGGAAUGCGUGGUGUAGCGGUGAAAUGCAUAGAUAUCACGCAGAACCCCGAUUGCGAAGGCAGCCUUCCGGCGCCCUACUGACGCUGAGGCACGAAAGUGCGGGGAUCGAACAGG